GAUGAACGCUAGCGGCAGGCCUAACACAUGCAAGUCGAGGGGCAGCAUAAAAUAAACUUGUUUAUUUGGUGGCGACCGGCGCACGGGUGCGUAACGCGUAUGCAACCUACCUUACACAGGGGGAUAGCCCGGAGAAAUUCGGAUUAAUACCCCAUAGCACUAUCGGACGGCAUCAUUUGAUAUUUAAAGCUUUUGCGGUGUAAGAUGGGCAUGCGUCCUAUUAGCUAGUUAGUGAGGUAACGGCUCACCAAGGCUACGCGAGGUAGGGGGCCUGAGAGGGUGGUCCCCCACACUGGUACUGAGACACGGACCAGACUCCUACGGGAGGCAGCAGUGAGGAAUAUUGGUCAAUGGGCGCAAGCCUGAACCAGCCAUGCCGCGUGAAGGAUGAAGGUUCUAUGGAUUGUAAACUUCUUUUAUUUGGGAAUAAACCCCUUUACGUGUAGAGGGCUGAAGGUACCAAAUGAAUAAGCACCGGCUAACUCCGUGCCAGCCGCCGCGGUAAGAC
rnacentral:rRNA from 1 species